rnacentral:rRNA from 1 species
UACUCCUACGGGAGGCAGCAGUAAGGAAUAUUGCGCAAUGGGCGAAAGCCUGACGCAGCGACGCCGCGUGGGGGAUGAAGGUCUUCGGAUUGUAAACCCCUUUCGGGAGGGAAGAUGGAGCGAGCAAUCGUUCGGACGGUACCUCCAGAAGCAGCCACGGCCAACUUCGUGCCAGCAGCCGCGGUAAU